rnacentral:lncRNA from 1 species
UUUUUUUUCCUGUCAGUUGAAUUUGGGAAGGAAGGAACAAGCAAAAAUUUUUACCUUCUUCUUUCAAUUGGACACUAUGGACGGAAAUCCAGGAGAGCUGACCUUGCCUUCUUCCCUCCACAUACAGGAACUGCAGACACUGCAGAUAAAACAGAGCCAGAAUGCUUUGCUGCCAGCUGGACCUUUGACCCAAACCCCAGUGUGACUGUCUCCGGUGCUCACUCAACUGCAAUGCAUCAAUGAAGGAAAAAAGAACUGAGCAUCGGCAAAAAGCUGAGGAUGACAAGCUUAGGGGAUGAAAGGCUGCCUUUUCCCCCCCUUCUGAGCGUUUCUGACAGCUCCCCGCUGGGAGAAACCAACAUGAUGAAAAGACAAAGAAUACUGGAGAAGAGAGAGGGUGGGCAGAGCCACAACCUCAUCCUCCCAGUGGUUCCUCUUGAGUUUGAUUUGACAAGAUGCCUUCCCACCCAGGUAACCCCAUGGGAACGUGCCAGUACCUCACCCCACGACCUCACUGAGUCCUCACAAAAAAUCCAGGGUGCAGAUUUUUUUCCCCACUUGGAGAUGACAAAUUGAAAUGCAGGAAGGUUAAAGAGUUUGCCUGAGGUUGCUUAGAUAAUAAAAGAAUCUGGAUUAGAACCCAGACCUACCCAGCUCA